rnacentral:lncRNA from 1 species
UUUUGAGCUUUCUCCCCUUCUGCUACAUCAAUACCCCCUUUUUUGCAAACUUCUUAUCAUCUUAUGCCAUAUGGUCUACACUUUACUCUUAUUCCUUUAACGUGAUGUUGUUGUUAGAUGUUUUUUUUUUCUCCAUUUGGGGACAUGAGUUAUAGAAUUAUACUUAUGAUCUAUGUUACUCGGACUCGAUACUGGUGUUAGAACUCAGAAAUGGGUGCAUAUCCCUAUGUCUGACUUGUCAACUUUCUAAAUAGUGAAUAUGUGGAUAUGGACCUUACUUGUCAACUUUCUAAAUAGUGAAUACGUGGAUAUGGACCUUACUUGUCAACUUUCUAAAUAGUGAAUACGUGGAUAUGGACCUUGUCAACUUUCUAAAUAGGGAAUACGGGGAUAUGGACCUGACUUGUCAACUUUCUAAAUAGAGAAUACGGGGAUAUGGAUCUGAGUUCAGAUAUGGGUGCCCGGAUAGUUAUAUUAUACAAAAUAAAUUAGAGUAAAAAAAUAUGAAGUUAUAUAGUAAUAAUUAUAGUCUAAAUAGAUGUUUAAAUACAAUCAAAUACAUCAUCUAAAAUAUAACCAAAUAACUAUUUUUGUCUAAAUAUAUGAUUUUCAUCUUGGGAGAAAAGAAUGUUAUCUUAACUAUGUAUGAAUAUGUCACUCAAGUGUCCGAGUGCACGAAUAUGAAGUGUCGUGUCGACACGGGCACGCCAUGUCAAAAUGAAGAGUCAGAGUAUCAAAGCUUAUGAUGCAACAGUUAUUUAUGGCCACAUGGCAUGCAAAUUUUGAUAAUUUUCCUCAUAACUGAUAUUAGUACAUCUGUUGAUAAUUUUCUGCAGAGGUAGAUAUCCUAAAGUGAACUGUUGGAGACAUUGGGCCAUUUUGGCAUGCAUGCUUUUUUUUGGUUUUGGUGGUUGUCCAAAUAAUGAAAUAAUUGUGUAUGUGAAAACAAGUUUAUUAAACAAGUAAAACAAACUUUUGAUGAUUACUGGCUAUAGAAAGCUGUUUUAGUCAUUAAGACAUCAAGUAGCCAACUAAAGUGUAAUCAAUUUUUUUAAUAAUUAUAGGACUAGAAUAAUCAACAAACAAAAAUAGUAUGGAUGCCAAAUGGGCCGUAAUGAGUGUUUUUGCGUGGACCUAAAGUGAGAGCAAUGCCAUGUGGAUUUAUGUUAGCAUUGUUCAGUAAUAAUGCUUAUCCUUUAGGCAUUUAUUUUACUUUUAGAAAGGAAUUAGUCUCUCCAUCUCAACAAUGGAAAUGGAUAGUUUGCAUGGGGGUGAGGAAAAGCAUGUUUUGUCUGAGGCCCUUUAUUUUAUUUUCUAUUUUUCCCCUAAAAAGUAUUUUUCUUCAUUUUGGAGUCCUGCAUUGAGCCUUAAUAUUACAAAUAUAGGUUUGAAGUUGUUGAUUUUAUUAGAAAAAAAAAAUUAUUCUUGCUCUAGAAACCUGUUGCUGUAUUUUCUUCAAUUUCUUCCUUUUUUGCAUUGCUUUUAUUCUGUAUUUUGCAUUUUGUUUUUCUUACUACAUUUAUUUGGGAGGGGAUUAUAAUUUUUAGN